AUAUGAUGCUUGUGUCAAGUUAGAGGAGGAUGUAUUUUCCGCAAUCCAAACUGAGUGACCUGAAAUUUGCAAGAAACAUAUGUUCGCUAUGAUGUCACAAAUGCAUGAAUCCACAGAGGACACAAUGCGAUCUAAUGGCCACAUUAUCACCUCGAACCACGAGAGAGAGAAUAAUUCUAAAAAACUGUCGCAUUAGAGUUUAGGUUUAUGGGACCAAAAGCAUCAAUCAAUAAUUUAAAGUCCAGGUAAAAUUAUUUGCACAUGUACAUUAUAAAUUAACCAUUAUUCCAGCCUGGGGUGGAAACAUACAAGUGUUUCCAUCCCAAUAUCGAUGAAAACUAACCUGACCGAGCAGCAAUCAAUCUUCCAAAUAGUGCAGAACUUAUGAAAUAAAAACCUGUUAGAUGUGAAUGACAUGAUCCAUAGUGCACUGAGCUUGAGCAUUAAGGUAGCAUCCCCCUAAAUGAGAAUUUCUUAUAAAGCAAAUGAUACCAGAAAGUGCAAAAAACUACGAUAAUAAUGCAAAAUUUAACAUUUCGAAUGUCAAUUAGAUACCAAUGUAUAUGUAGAAUUAAUGGAUGAAUCUUAGUUGAAGAACACAUGGCAUGAUGUAAUAAGGGUUCAUGAAACAAAGAUGUAUAUACUUAUCCUAUCAGUCGAGAAACGACAGGUACACUUCAGAUUGGGCUGCAAGUCUUUAGGUAUUUACUCAAUUGGUCCAAACACAAGAUUCUUUCGAGUGCAAAAAGCCACUAGAAUUCGGUCGAACAAAACUUUGUUGUUUGUCCCUUGGGCUCUUUUACAUUAUGGUGGGUUCGAACUGGAAGCAUCCAAGAAUUAUAGCUGAGUUUAUAGCAGAAACCAUCACCAAGCCAGCUUGUAUGCUAUAGGUGCUAUAUUGAUUCGAAUGUAGAACGUGCAAAGCACCCGACUGGAAUUGGUUCCACCGAUCAAACCGGGCCUAAUACAAGUCCUGAUCAUAGCAAUUUUCUAGGAAUCAAACUAAGAGCUUAGCAGCCACAAACCAUGUAAACUACCCACAUUAGUUCUUCCAUCUUUCUCUUCUCCCUCUCAUUAGGUGAACUCUCGAGGUAAAGCGAGCGAAUUUGACAUCUCAAGACCCCAAAACCAUCUCGCCAAAGCCUACCAAAUCGCCAAGCUCAUCAUCAAACACAAAAAUACGAGUCUUACUAAUAAAGAUUCGAAGCACUAAAGAAACAAAACAAAAAAAAAAGUGAACUUUUUUUGCGACGAAGCAUCAAACAGGAAACCGGAAGAAAGAAAUUACGAUGAGAAAUAUGAACAUCCAACGCUCGGAUGAGGCCACACCGGCCAAUGACCAUUAGGGCGACAUCUGGAGAAUGGAAGAAUACCUGAAAAGAAUUCGACCGAUUCGACCGGAGGAGAAAACUUGGCAAGGAGGAAGGCGACGGGGAGGCGAAGGGCGAGAACAGCGCUGGUAUUGAGCGGGUGCGGACCCGAAAUCCUAUAAGUGGGUUUGGGUCUGUAUACGACGAGGCCGGGAACCGACCCGCGUGGGCUAAAGGACCGCUUCUUCACUAUCGGGUCGGAGUGUAUACAUACCCGACUCGCUGAGGACCCGAAAUUUAUUUGGGUUCGUCUUGCUCGGUCGAGCGAUCCGAUCCAACCGCAAAAUGCCGUCCGCGAUCCUUCCUGCUACCGUCGCCAUCCGCCGGUCCGCCACCGCCGCCAGUCAAACUCUCUCCUCCACAAAUACCUGUCGGGGGCCUACAGAUUCCCCUUCUCCUCCGGUUUCUGCCGUGGCAGCGGUGGCCCCCAGGUGGUACGUGUCCAAGUGGCAAUGGAAGCGGAUGCAGCAGAAUGCGAAGCAGCUGCUCAACGCCCGCCUCUUCCCGUCUUCCACAGUGUGAAACCGUAUGGCGUCACCCGGGGAUCGAACAGGACUCGGGGGACGGGGCAGAGGAGGAGCUGAGGUUUGAUGAUUACAUCGCCAGGGGAGCGGGUGGCAUUAAUAUUUGGAGGAAGAGGAGGUCAAUAAGGUACUUGAACAAUGGACAGUCAUCGGCCCACGGGAGAAGGAUAUCAAUGUGAAAGCAAAGAAUCUAGACCGAUCAAGGUGAUCAAAGUUCGACUUUUGCCUCAGAGAUUUAAUUCAAGAUCCCUGAGGAACUUCAAUCGUCAAGAUAGGGGUGCAGGGGAGGAUGAGAUGAUUGAUAGAUCAAGCAUCGUGUCAAUUCUCAGAUGCAAAUAUUUCCAGGUCGACUUGGUUGUGACGACGUCAGCGACAUCAUGGGUGAAUACAAGGACUUGAAGGUGGAGGUUGGAGAAGCUAAUUCUGUCAGGCUGAAUGGUAUCCAAGAGAAGAGACCAUGGGAAUGGCAGAAGCCGAGGAUCUGGGCUCAAUUUAGAUCUAACAUGGUUGAAGUAAUGGCUUCUGCUAAAGUUUCAAACCGGUGAGAUGGGGGGCAAUGGAAGAUACUGCCGUGGCAAUAGUAGGUCCAACACAGAGAGCAGAACACUGCAAACACCUACUGGAUUAUAUAACGGGGAAGGUAACUACAGGAGGAAAAAUGCCAUGCUGAAUGAAGAUAAUAGCUUCGGAAGGAACGUUUAGGGAUCCCACCGAUGAAAGAAAGCCUAAAUUGUCAAUUGAAAUUUUCAGAAGUUGCAGACUUAAAUUCCGAUGUAUCCCCAGAAGAUGCUACAUGAGCUAC
rnacentral:lncRNA from 1 species